ACGCGCGGAACCUUACCAGGUCUUGACAUCCCGGUGACCGCUCUGGAGACAGAGUUUUCCCUUCGGGGACACCGGUGACAGGUGGUGCAUGGUUGUCGUCAGCUCGUGUCGUGAGAUGUUGGGUUAAGUCCCGCAACGAGCGCAACCCUUGAUCUUAGUUGCCAGCAUUUAGUUGGGCACUCUAAGGUGACUGCCGGUGACAAACCGGAGGAAGGUGGGGAUGACGUCAAAUCAUCAUGCCCCUUAUGACCUGGGCUACACACGUGCUACAAUGGAUGGUACAAAGGGCUGCAAGACCGCGAGGUUUAGCCAAUCCCAUAAAACCAUUCUCAGUUCGGAUUGCAGGCUGCAACUCGCCUGCAUGAAGCUGGAAUCGCUAGUAAUCGCGGAUCAGCAUGCCGCGGUGAAUACGUUCCCGGGCCUUGCACACACCGCCCGU
rnacentral:rRNA from 1 species